rnacentral:rRNA from 1 species
GACGAACGCUGGCGGCGUGCUUAACACAUGCAAGUCGAACGGAAAGGCCUCUUUCGGGGGUACUCGAGUGGCGAACGGGUGAGUAACACGUGAGUAACCUGCCCUUGACUUUGGGAUAACUUCAGGAAACUGGGGCUAAUACCGGAUAGGAGCUCCUGCUGCAUGGUGGGGGUUGGAAAGUUUCGGCGGUUGGGGAUGGACUCGCGGCUUAUCAGCUUGUUGGUGGGGUAGUGGCUUACCAAGGCUUUGACGGGUAGCCGGCCUGAGAGGGUGACCGGCCACAUUGGGACUGAGAUACGGCCCAGACUCCUACGGGAGGCAGCAGUGGGGAAUAUUGCACAAUGGGUGGAAGCCUGAUGCAGCAACGCCGUGUGCGGGAUGACGGCCUUCGGGUUGUAACCCGCUUUCGCUCAUGACGAAGCUUUGUGUGACGGUAGUGGGUAAAGAAGCACCGGCUAACUACGUG